rnacentral:rRNA from 1 species
GUGAGGAAUAUUGGUCAAUGGGCGCAAGCCUGAACCAGCCAUGCCGCGUGCAGGAAGACGGUCCUAUGGAUUGUAAACUGCUUUUAUUUGGGAAUAAACUCCGGUACGUGUACCGGCCUGAAGGUACCAAAUGAAUAAGCACCGGCUAACUCCGUGCCAGCAGCCGCGGUAAUACGGAGGGUGCAAGCGUUAUCCGGAAUCAUUGGGUUUAAAGGGUCCGCAGGCGGUCUUAUAAGUCAGUGGUGAAAGCCUACAGCUCAACUGUAGAACUGCCAUUGAUACUGUAGGACUUGAAUUCGAUCGAAGUGGGCGGAAUGUGACAUGUAGCGGUGAAAUGCUUAGAUAUGUCACAGAACACCGAUAGCGAAGGCAGCUCACUAGGUCUGGAUUGACGCUCAGGGACGAAAGCGUGGGGAGCAAACAGGAUUAGAAACCCCGGUAGUC